ACCAUGAAGUGUUUUCAUCAGCUUUGGCAAGACACACGGGCACAGAUGACUGUGGUGAAGGAAUAACAUGGGUUGACUCCCAGGUCCCAGGAGGGAUUGGCCAGCUCUGGAUGCAGUCUUGGUACCUCCGUGCUAUUUUACAUAUCAAUGUGCCACCCCUUUAAUGUGUGAAUAACACCCCUUCAUAUAGAUAAACAUUUUGUCUGUCCAUCUCUAAUUUAUGAACAGUUGUAUUAUGUUCCCAUUUUGGCUGCCGUGAGCAAGGCGGCUACAAACAUUCAUGUCCAAUAUUGAUGUAGGCGUCUGCUUUUACUGUUGCUGUGUACGUGCAUGUUUUCUUUACGCAGAAUAAUGAGGAAAAUUAAAAAAAAAAUAAGUCAAUUG
rnacentral:lncRNA from 1 species